rnacentral:rRNA from 1 species
GACGAACGCUGGCGGCGUGCUUAACACAUGCAAGUCGAACGGAAAGGCCCUGCUUUUGUGGGGUGCUCGAGUGGCGAACGGGUGAGUAACACGUGAGUAACCUGCCCUUGACUUUGGGAUAACUUCAGGAAACUGGGGCUAAUACCGGAUAAGAGCUCCUGCUGCAUGGUGGGGGUUGGAAAGUUUCGGCGGUUGGGGAUGGACUCGCGGCUUAUCAGCUUGUUGGUGGGGUAGUGGCUUACCAAGGCUUUGACGGGUAGCCGGCCUGAGAGGGUAACCGGCCACAUUGGGACUGAGAUACGGCCCAGACUCCUACGGGAGGCAGCAGUGGGGAAUAUUGCACAAUGGGCGGAAGCCUGAUGCAGCAACGCCGCGUGCGGGAUGACGGCCUUCGGGUUGUAAACCGCUUUCGCCUGUGACGAAGCGUGAGUGACGGUAAUGGGUAAAGAAGCACCGGCUAACUACGUG